UACGGAAGGAGCAGUGGGGAAUAUUGCACAAUGGGCGCAAGCCUGAUGCAGCCAUGCCGCGUGUAUGAAGAAGGCCUUCGGGUUGUAAAGUACUUUCAGUCGUGAGGAAGGUGUUAAGGUUAAUAACCUUAGCAAUUGACGUUAGCGACAGAAGAAGCACCGGCUAACUCCGUGCCAGCAGCCGCGGUAAUACGGAGGGUGCGAGCGUUAAUCGGAAUUACUGGGCGUAAAGGGCACGCAGGCGGUUAAUUAAGUUGGAUGUGAAAUCCCCGGGCUUAACCUGGGAAUGGCAUUCAAGACUGGUUAGCUAGAGUCUUGUAGAGGGGGUAGAAUUCCAUGUGUAGCGGUGAAAUGCGUAGAGAUGUGGAGGAAUACCGGUGGCGAAAGGCGGCCCCUGGACAAAGACUGACGCUCAUGUGCGAAAGCUGGGGAGCAAAACAGGGAUUAGAUACC
rnacentral:rRNA from 1 species